UGCGUAGGCGGUCCCGCAAGUCCGUUGUGAAAGCCCCGGGCUUAACCUGGGAAUGGCAGUGGAAACUAGGGGACUUGAAUCUGGCAGAGGGGGGUGGAAUGCCACGUGUAGCAGUGAAAUGCGUAGAGAUGUGGCGGAACACCGAUGGCGAAGGCAGCCCCCUGGGCUGAGAUUGACGCUCAGGCACGAAAGCGUGGGAGCAAACAGGAUUAGAUACCCUGGUAGUCCACGCCCUAAACGAUGAUCACUAGGUGUUGGGGAAGCGAUUUCUCAGUACCGCAGCUAACGCGUGAAGUGAUCCGCCUGGGGAGUACGGUCGCAAGAUUAAA
rnacentral:rRNA from 1 species